UCGAGUGUUGCCCCCCUCGUAAAAAAAGGGGGGUACCUCCCGUCCUUUGCUGGGGGCCCCCUCUUUUUAUGGGGGGGGCUUUUUCAGAACUUUCUGCUUCGGCGGGGUUGCCCCGCCGGAACACCCUCAAGAAAAUCUCGAAUAAAACUGUUCAGUCCGAGUGUUGCUACAAUAAAACA
rnacentral:misc_RNA from 1 species